GGAGGAUUCAAGCUUCCUAGUGAUGGUUGGUAACAGAUUGUGUUUUGCCUUGUAUGAAGAAUCAUCUAGCUUAAUGAUAUCAUCUUUCAUUAUAUCAGCAAAGCAAUCCUCUUCAUCACAAUCCUUCCAGUGACUAGAAGAAUGAUGCUGAGGCAACUCUUUAUUCAGCUUAUCGGAUUCUGAUCCAGAUUCAAUCUGCUCG
rnacentral:misc_RNA from 1 species